rnacentral:lncRNA from 1 species
UAUGGCUAAAUUAUAGAAAACCCUCCUGUAAUGACCCGCUUUUUCACUUUCCCCCCCUGACAUUUAAAAACCUAUACUUUGCCCCAUUAUAAAAUGAAAAAUGUUCACAGGGGGGUCACGGUGUGUAAAAUGACCAUUUUGCCCCUCGCCAUUGUUGUCUUCUUCCUGAGCUUCUUCAGCCGCCCCUUCGAUCCGCCGCUAUUUCCACCUUAAUCGGCCACGAUUCCUCUCCAAUUUCUUCUCCACCUGCUCCCCUUCUCCUCCUACACCGUCGCCGCCCAUCGAUUUCGGCGACAGUAGGGAGGAUACUAAGAUGGGUGUUGAUGGAGAGGUAGGCAGGGACAACGAGGGCGAAGGCGAGGUGGCGGAGGAGGACGAAAGGGAUGUGGGCGAGGGCGAAGCAGUAGAGGACGGCGAGGCGGCGAGGCGGCGAAGCGGCGAGCGGAGGGAGCGAAGCAUCAGAGAAGAGGCAGAGGGGUAUUUUCGGUAUAAAAAAAUAUUUUUUAACAGAACCCCUAACGGAACCCUAACGGUAGGGGUGAAGUGCACACUUUUCAUUUUACAAGGGGACAAAGUGUAGGAUUUUAAAUGUCAGGGGGGGAAAGUGAAAAACGGGUUAUUACAGAGGGGUUUUCUGUAAUUUAGCCUAUAUAUAUA